rnacentral:rRNA from 1 species
CCUACGGGUGGCAGCAGUGGGGAAUAUUGGGCAAUGGGCGAAAGCCUGAACCAGCAACGCCGCGUGAAUGAUUAAGGCCUUCGGGGUGUAAAGCUCUGUCAGUAGGGACGAAAAUUGAUGGACCUGAGAGAGGAUGCACGGGCUAACUCCGUGCCAGCAGCCGCGGUAAUAGGGAGGGUGCAAGCGUAUUCCGGAGUCAUUGGGUGUAAAGGGUGCGUAGGGGGCGUAUUAAGUCGGAUGUGAAAUGCAGAAGCUCAACUGCAGAACUGCACUGGAAACUGGUAAGCUUGAGUGCGGUAGAGGUAAAGGGAAUUCCUGGUGUAGCGGUGAAAUGCGUAGAUAUCAGGAGGAACAUCGGUGGCGAAGGCGGUUUACUGGACCGUAAUUGACACUGAGGAUCGAAAGCGGGGGUAGCAAACAGGAUUAGAUACCCGGGUAGUC